rnacentral:rRNA from 1 species
AUUGAACGCUGGCGGCAUGCCUUACACAUGCAAGUCGAACGGUAACAGGUUAAGCUGACGAGUGGCGAACGGGUGAGUCAUACAUCGGACCGUGCCCUGUAGUGGGGGAUAGCCCGGCGAAAGCCGAAUUAACACCGCAUACGACCUAAGGGUGAAUGGUGCGGAUCGCAAGACCUCUCGCUAUUGGAGCGGCCGAUGUCAGAUUAGCUAGUUGGCGGGGUAAAAGCUCACCAAGGCGGCGACCUGUAGCUGGUCUGAGAGGACGACCAGCGACACUGGGGCUGAGACACGGCCCAUGGGCCUGCGAGAGGCCGCAGUGGGGAAUUUUGGACAGUAGGCGCGAGCCUGAUCCAGCCAUGCCGCGUGCGGGAAGAAGGCCUUCGGGUUGGGAACCGCUUUUGUCAGGGAAGAAAUCCUUUGGGUUAAUACCUCGGGGGGAUGACGGUACCUGAAGAAUAAGCACCGGCUAACUACGUG